rnacentral:lncRNA from 1 species
UUUUAUUUUGCUUUCUUCGUACAGUGCAAUACUUCUUAGUUUUAUUCAAAGCAUAUAUGAGUUAUUUUAAUUCCUAAUAUUUAUUAUUCUAUAACACGUUAUCAGCACGAGUUUUUGCUCGAUAGGGAUUUGCUAUUUUCGUAUUCUUCUUUUUAUUUUAUUUUACGAAAAUCCAGAUCCUCGAUCUAUUGUCGUAAAGACAAACGAGAAUGAUUAGCGAAUACUUCGGUAUUUUAUACGCUAUCAUUUCUCAAAGGAUAUGAUGGAUUCGUGUAUAUUAAUCUAUUGCUUAUUUAUUUGUUGAAUUGCUGCUGAAAUUUAUAUUUGCAAGCUUGUGGACCCCAAACAGUGUUAUAAGCACGUGCUAUAUAUCAACAGAUCUGUGGGCCGACUUAGAGGCCAAUAUAUAAACUCCGAGCCUGAUGCUCGUGGAGUUGGAGAAAUAAUAAUCUCAGUUGAAGGUCGAUUUAGAGACUAUGAGAUUAACUCCGAGCACAAAGCUCGUGGAGUUGGGGAAAUAAUAAUCUCCGUUUAAAGCCGAUUUAGAGGCUAUCGUUUUAACUCCGGGCGAGUACCCGUAGAGCUUAACAGAGACCGUAUUGAGGUCAUGCUAUAACUCCGAGCCGAAAAACUCGUUGAGUCAAGACGUUGGAAUUCCCGUCAAAUAAAUGAAAUAUAGCUCCGAGUCUGAAGCUCGUUGAGAUAAGAAAGCCGAUUUAGAGGCUAUACUGUUCAUAUAACUCCGAGUCUAAGCUCGUUGAGAUAAGAAAGCCGAUAUAGAGGCUAAAUCUUUAAUACAACUCCGAGUCUAAACUCGUUGAAGCAAGAAAGCCGAUUUAGAGGCUAAAUCUUUAAUAUAGCUCCGAGUCUAAACUCGUUGAAGCAAGAAAGCCGAUUUAGAGGCUAAAUCUUUAAUAUAGCUCCGAGUCUAAACUCGUUGAAGCAAGAAAGCCGAUUUAGAGGCUAAAUCUUUAAUAUAGCUCCGAGUCUAAACUCGUUGAAGCAAGAAAGCCGAUUUAGAGGCUAAAUCUUUAAUAUAGCUCCGAGUCUAAACUCGUAAAGACAAAAAAGCCGAUUUAGAGGCUAAAUUACAAAUAUAACUCCGAGCCUGAAGCUCGUUGAGUUAAGACGUGAUAAUAUCCGUCAAAAGCUGAUUUAAAGGCCAAAUAUCUGAAAAUAUCUCCGAGCCUGAAGCUCGUUGAGUUAAGACGUGAUAAUAUCCAUCAAAAGCCGAUUUAAAGGCCAAAUAUCUGAAAAUAUCUCCGAGCCUGAAGCUCGUUGAGUUAAGACGUGAUAAUAUCCGUCAAAAGCCGAUUUAUAUGCCAAAUAUCUGAAUAUAACUCCGAGCCUGAAGCUCGUUGAGUCAAGACGUGAUAAUAUCCGUCAAAAGCCGAUUUAUAGGCCAAAUAUCUGAAUAUAUCUCCGAGCCUGAAGCUCGUUGAGUCAAGACGUGAUAAUAUCCGUCAAAAGCCGAUUUAAAGGCCAAAUAUCUGAA